rnacentral:rRNA from 1 species
GUCAAGUCAUCAUGGCCUUUAUGGCCAGGGCUACACACGUGCUACAAUGGUAGGUACAGAGGGAAGCCAACCGGCGACGGGGAGCCAAUCCCAGAAAACCUAUCGUAGUCCGGAUUGGAGUCUGCAACUCGACUCCAUGAAGUCGGAAUCGCUAGUAAUCGCAGAUCAGCAUUGCUGCGGUGAAUACGUUCCCGGGUCUU